GAUGAACGCUAGCUACAGGCUUAACACAUGCAAGUCGAGGGGAAACGCCAUCGAAAGCUUGCUUUUGAUGGGCGUCGACCGGCGCACGGGUGAGUAACGCGUAUCCAACCUGCCCACCACUUGGGGAUAACCUUGCGAAAGUAAGACUAAUACCCAAUGAUAUCUCUAGAAGACAUCUGAAAGAGAUUAAAGAUUUAUCGGUGAUGGAUGGGGAUGCGUCUGAUUAGCUUGUUGGCGGGGUAACGGCCCACCAAGGCAACGAUCAGUAGGGGUUCUGAGAGGAAGGUCCCCCACAUUGGAACUGAGACACGGUCCAAACUCCUACGGGAGGCAGCAGUGAGGAAUAUUGGUCAAUGGACGAGAGUCUGAACCAGCCAAGUAGCGUGCAGGAAGACGGCCCUAUGGGUUGUAAACUGCUUUUAUAAGGGAAUAAAGUGAGUCUCGGGAGACUUUUUGCAUGUACCUUAUGAAUAAGAACCGGCUAAUUCCGUG
rnacentral:rRNA from 1 species